UUGACCUCGGAUCAGGUAGGGAUACCCGCUGAACUUAAGCAUAUCAAUAAGCCGGAGG
rnacentral:rRNA from 3 species